GCAGAAUUGCGCUGACCAGGUGGGCUACAAAUCCAGAAUUUUUAACAUACAUAGUCUAGUGCCUAGCUUGUUGGUUGUCAAACAAGAAACAACUCAAACUAACUAUAUACUAGCUAGUACUCCUAAUUGGCGGAGACUAAGCAGCCCUCAGGGCCUGAGCAGGCUCCUGAUGAUCUCGGCCUGCUCACUGUUGGCGUCCAUCGUCGACAUGAGCUCUGAAAGUCGAUCACUCAGAUCCUCCACCUCCUUGUGC
rnacentral:misc_RNA from 1 species